rnacentral:rRNA from 1 species
UACAGAGGUCUCAAGCGUUGUUCGGAUUCAUUGGGCGUAAAGGGUGCGUAGGUGGCGCGGUAGUCGGGUGUGAAAUUUCGGAGCUUAACUCCGAAACUGCAUUCGAUACUGCCGUGCUUGAGGACUGGAGAGGAGACUGGAAUUUACGGUGUAGCAGUGAAAUGCGUAGAGAUCGUAAGGAAGACCAGUGGCGAAGGCGGGUCUU